rnacentral:lncRNA from 10 species
UUUUUCCCCCAUAUUUUCUAUUGUAAAUUAUUUCAUUCCUUGGCCAAUGAUGAGCAACCAGGUUAUUUCCUGUCCUCUGCCGGCACUAAGGCUUCUGCAGGGCACAGGUGUUUCUUGUUGUUUGGAGACAGGUUUUUGCUCUGUCACCCAGGCUGGAGUGCAGUGGUGUGAUCUCAGCUCACUACAACUCCCAGGCUCAAGCAGUCCUCCUGUCUCAGCCUUCUGAGUAGCUGGGAGUGCAGGCACAUGCAGAGGAGACGUGUGGAGUACAUGAUCUGGUGUGGGAUUGCUGGGCAUCCGUCUGGGCCAAGUGUGGCACUGGUUUUGAUUACUCUGUUUUGUUUUGGUUUUUGAUAGGAGAAAGAGCCCCAGAAAAAUGAGUCCAGCAAUGCCUCUGAAGAGGAAGCCUGUGAGAAAAAAGACCCCGCCACACAGCAAGCCUUUGUAUUUGGGCAGAACUUGAGGGACAGAGUUAAGCUGAUAAAUGAGAGCGUGGACGAAGCCGACAUGGAGAAUGCUGGACACCCCAGCGCAGACACGCCAACCGCAAC